rnacentral:rRNA from 1 species
AGUGAACGCUGGCGGUAGGCCUAACACAUGCAAGUCGAACGGCAGCACAGUAAGAGCUUGCUCUUACGGGUGGCGAGUGGCGGACGGGUGAGGAAUACAUCGGAAUCUACUUUUUCGUGGGGGAUAACGUAGGGAAACUUACGCUAAUACCGCAUACGACCUACGGGUGAAAGCAGGGGAUCGUCGGACCUUGCGCGAUUGAAUGAGCCGAUGUCGGAUUAGCUAGUUGGGGGGGUAAAGGCCCACCAAGGCGACGAUCCGUAGCUGGUCUGAGAGGAUGAUCGGCCACACUGGAACUGAGACACGGUCCAGACUCCUACGGGAGGCAGCAGUGGGGAAUAUUGGACAAUGGGCGCAAGCCUGGUCCAGCCAUACCGCGUGGGUGACGAAGGCCUUCGGGUUGUAAAGCCGUUUUGUUGGGAAAGAAAAGCAGCAGGUUAAUACCCCGCUGUUCUGACGGUACCCAAAGAAUAAGCACCGGCUAACUUCGUG